GGUGCUUAUUUCAGAAAGAAAAGGAAAGAAGAAGAGGAGAAACGGUCCAAAAACAAAGUGAUGCACUUUUCCAGCAACACUGCUAAAAUAUUUUGGAGCGCCUCCUGCCCAGGAUGAGUCUCCAGCAAUAGAGGCCUCAUCUGGAGCAGAGGAUCAGGUGAUCCCAUCCACCUCUACGGCUGCUAUGGCUUCUAUGGCAUCUCCUGCCAUGUCUCAGGAAGGCCAUGAAGAGUUUGCUGCUGCUUCUCCUCAGCAGGAGCCUAUAGAAAUGCCUGAACCCCCACAAAGUUCA